rnacentral:rRNA from 1 species
CCUACGGGAGGCAGCAGUAGGGAAUCUUCCACAAUGGGCGAAAGCCUGAUGUAGCAACGCCGCGUGGGUGAAGAAGGUCUUCGGAUCGUAAAACCCUGUUGUUAGAGAAGAAAGUGCGUGAGAGUAACUGUUCACGUUUCGACGGUAUCUAACCAGAAAGCCACGGCUAACUACGUGCCAGCAGCCGCGGUAAUACGUAGGUGGCAAGCGUUAUCCGGAUUUAUUGGGCGUAAAGGGAACGCAGGCGGUCUUUUAAGUCUGAUGUGAAAGCCUUCGGCUUAACCGGAGUAGUGCAUUGGAGACUGGGAGACUUGAGUGCAGAAGAGGAGAGUGGAACUCCAUGUGUAGCGGUGAAAUGCGUAGAUAUAUGGAAGAACACCAGUGGCGAAAGCGGCUCUCUGGUCUGUAACUGACGCUGAGGUUCGAAAGCGUGGGUAGCAAACAGGAUUAGAUACCCUGGUAGUC